rnacentral:lncRNA from 1 species
AUGGUUAACCUAUUGCUCUGAUACCACUAGAUGUCACGCCCCGGACCCGGAUCCGUGACACGGCCGUGCUAUUGCUGACUACCGCCCACAAUAGCACGCAGCCUCAUACCUGGGUAACAGGGUAGUCAAACCAACCGAAUCUUUUCAUAUGAAAGCAUUCUUAGUACAACAUGCUGGUCAGUACCCAAAUACAGAGCUUCUAUGUAGUUUAUGUACACAAAAGUAUACUUGCUUUACCCCAAAAGAAAGAAGCCCUGAUACCAAAUUA